GUGAACGGCGUGGCAGGAGGCGCGGGAAUACGUAGGGGGGAAGGGUUGUCCGGAUGUAUUGGGCGUAAAGAGCGUGUAGGCGGCCUGGAAGGUCAGCUGUGAAAACUCGAGGCUUAACCUCGGGACGUCGGUUGAAACCACCUGGCUAGAGUCCGGAAGAGGAGUGUGGAAUUCCCGGUGUAGCGGUGAAAUGCGCAGAUAUCGGGAAGAACACCCGUGGCGAAGGCGGCACUCUGGGACGGUACUGACGCUGAGACGCGAAAGCGUGGGGAGCGAACAGGAUUAGAUACCCCAGUAGUC
rnacentral:rRNA from 1 species